rnacentral:rRNA from 1 species
CGUAGGGAAACCGAGUCUUAACCGGGCGUUAAGUUGCAGGGUAUAGACCCGAAACCCGGUGAUCUAGCCAUGGGCAGGUUGAAGGUUGGGUAACACUAACUGGAGGACCGAACCGACUAAUGUUGAAAAAUUAGCGGAUGACCUGUGGCUGGGGGUGAAAGGCCAAUCAAACCGGGAGAUAGCUGGUUCUCCCCGAAAGCUAUUUAGGUAGCGCCUCGUGAAUUCAUCUCCGGGGGUAGAGCACUGUUUCGGCUAGGGGGCCAUCCCGGCUUACCAACCCGAUGCAAACUGCGAAUACCGGAGAAUGUUAUCACGGGAGACACACGGCGGGUGCUAACGUCCGUCGUGAAGAGGGAAACAACCCAGACCGCCAGCUAAGGUCCCAAAGUCAUGGUUAAGUGGGAAACGAUGUGGGAAGGCCCAGACAGCCAGGAUGUUGGCUUAGAAGCAGCCAUCAUUUAAAGAAAGCGUAAUAGCUCACUGGUCGAGUCGGCCUGCGCGGAAGAUGUAACGGGGCUAAACCAUGCACCGAAGCUGCGGCAGCGACGCUUAUGCGUUGUUGGGUAGGGGAGCG